CUCCUGUACAUAUAAUUUUUAAAUGACCAGUUUACUAAACUUUUCUCCUUUAUUCAUAGCAUAACUUCAUCUUCUGAGAUGUAUCUGUUUACUAAUGAACAUUUUCAGAUUUAGAAUCCCUUGCUGGAAUCCACAUAAGGAAAAUUUCUGGUGCAUGGCUAAUGUGUCUCAAACAAUCAAGAUUUCACAGCACAGCUUCAUCGCUCUUCAGUGUCUUUUUGCCUCACUGUCAAGAAUUAGGGGUUCCAACUGCCUCACAUCUUUGAGGUGAGCGACAGUGCUGGUUUCCAGGAAGCCAAACCUGAAAUAGGAGCAAAGCCCUCUCAUGUAACUGAGAAAGAGUUCCUAGUUGCCAAAAACUGCUUUUAUAAGGGGACAAACCCCAUAUAAAGAGUUUUCUGGCCUUUAAAAUGACCUGCCAAACAUCAUUCUUGUGCCUUAUCCAGUAGCUAUUAACCUGCCUACUACCCACAGAUUCUUGGGAAUUGACAGGCCCGGAGGCCCCCAGAAGGCCUAAGCCUCCUCAGCAUCAAGAGAAAGAACUGCUUUGCCCAAACAGGUUACAAAGCAGACAAAUGAAACUGUCUUCCUUAUAUGGUGAAAAUUACCCUGCCCCUUUAAGGCCUAGAGACCUGGCUGCAGACAGUCCCUGGGAAGUUUGCCUGCAGCCCCAUCCUGUCCUCUCCUUGCUGCUGUGCAGGUGAGUCCCCAAACCCUCUUUCCCCAAUUUGCCCUCUGUAAUCACUCUGGUAGGUAGAAAAUGCUAUUCAGAAAGGGCUAGAGAAUCUUAGGAUCAGGAGAGAUGGUGUUGUUUAGACAAGUUUGAGUAGAAGGAAAAAAACUAAGGAAAUGUGCUGUAAUGCAGCCAUGAGGAUGCAUCUAACUUCCCCUGGAAAGGAAGCACUAAGGUUACUGCAGGCCCUGGGGCAUUCCAAGACAGGACAGAGGAGGCAAAUUCAAAGGGAAAAGGGGGAUAGAUUCUAGGCAAUGCCAUAAGAGGUAAAGUUUAGACUCUUGAGCUUUGUAACCUGGUUUAAAAUAAACAUAGCUGAGAGGAAAUAAAGCUGCAAGUUC
rnacentral:lncRNA from 1 species